UGGUGUCAGCUUUUGCUCAAGGACUACUUAUGAUGAUAAUGCUAUCACCAAUGCUAUUGAGAUUUAUGCUUCUCCUAGGUAUUUAGUUUUCCUUAAUUGUUUUAUUAUUUUGAUAACGGAUAUUGGUGCUGUAUUUUUAAUAUACUUGUUCCUGGUUUUUAGUGGUGCAAUUCAUUUCACGGCAUCAAAUAAUGAUUGUGGAAUCAGAAACUUUGAUAUGGAGAAAUUUCAACUUUCUAAGUAUUUUCGUUUUCCCUGGCCAGUGAAUGUGAGUCUCUUAGAUUAUGUUCUCGACUUUCAAUCCCCUAUCCCCUCUUAAGAUUGAUAAGUGUAUUCAAUUUUGUUCUUACAGAAGUUGUAUUACCCAUUUGUUUCUGCAUUAAUGAGCAAUUUUUGCAUUAGGAAACAUUGCUUACACAUCAGCUGUAUGGAUGAGUUGAUUGGAAAUCUUUGUUAUCUGUUCCCACCCUACUUUGACUACUUUUAUUCUUGAUGUUAAAUAAUUUGAAGAAAUAAUGAACAAAUUAGUGUGUCAAUAAAUAGCAUUUAGCAAGUAGCUAGAAUUGUAGAUAUCUUUCUGUUAAUGUUAUAUUCCUUUGCUUUUUAUUUAUUUUCCUAUCUUUGCCUUUUUUUGCUAUGCUGCAGCAUACUUCUCUCAGUCCAGAUGGUAAGCUACUUUUGAUUGUUGGAGACAAUCCUGACAGUAUGUUGGUGGACUCUCAAAAUGGAAAGGUAGCGCUCUACUCCCUAAUUUAUCAAACAACUAAUCACUUCUUCAAUUUGUUGUAUCCUAUCUAUGAGUGUAUAAUUGAAAAUGUUGCUAAUCUGAAUUCUUUAUUUUGCAGAAUAUUGCUCCAUUAUCUGGGCACUUAGAUUUUUCAUUUGCAUCAUCAUGGAAUCCCGAUGGGGUAACCUUUGCUACUGGAAACCAGGAUAAAACCUGCCGGAUUUGGGACAUGCGAAAUUUAUCCAAGUCAGUGGCAGUGCUGAAGGGAAACCUUGGAGCCAUACGUUCAAUCCGAUACAGUUCUGACGGCAAGUAUAUGGCCAUAGCAGAGCCAGCAGAUUUUGUGCAUGUAUAUGACGUGAACAGUGGGUAUGAGAAAGAACAGGAAAUUGAUUUCUUUGGUGAGAUAUCAGGCAUAUCUUUCAGUCCAGACACCGAAUCCCUUUUCAUUGGAGUAUGGGAUCGUACUUAUGGCAGCCUUCUUGAAUAUGGGCGGCGCCAUAAUUACUCAUACCUUGAUUCGAUGUUUUAGUUGAAUGACAGUCUGCUUUAUGUAUCCUUUUGGGGUAGGUUGUCAAUGUAUGUAUAAAUCGAGUGUCUUGCAAAUGUUCUCAAUUUGUAGUUGUAGUAGGGUGUGUCUAUACCAGUGUGUGUGUGUGGAGAGAGGUAUAGGGGCUAGAAGAUGAUGAAAGUGUGUGUGACUGAUCUUGAAGAUGCUGAAUAUCAUCAUCAGUAUGUAAUGCAGUAAUUUUGUGUCUUGGAAACUCAUUUUGGCAAUAAAAUAUAAAAUUAUAUAUUUCUUGGUCUUAUUAGCUCUUAGGAUAUUUGUUUUUUUUGUUGAAACCAAUUACUCCCCGGAUUUUAGUAUUUUCCCCUUAAAAAAAAAAUAUUUUUCCCUUUAGAAAGAGAAAAAAAACCUCAUCACUAUGAUUCAGUUAGAAAAAAUAAGGGUCUAUUUUAUGUGAACCACUUUCAAAGCAUCCCUUAAAAAAUAUUUAUUUUGAUGGAUAAAAUAUCAUAUUUUGGAAGGAAUUUGCUUAACUUUUAGUCUUUUCUUUCGAUCAAACGUGCUCUUAAUAUAAAGAGUUGUCUAAGCCAUUAGAUUUAGUCUAGUGGUGAGAGAUUUGGGUAAUAUGUUAUAGACCCUGUGUUUAAUUCUUAGCUCAUUAUAAAUCAAAAAUAAAGAGUUGUCUAUAAGUUAUACAAAAAUAGUUGUCAAAUUAUUAUUUCUCUUUAAAAAUUUCCUGCCUAUAAUUUAAUUAAAAAAUUCAUAUAACCCUUCUUUUACUAGGACUUUAGGUGCUCUCAGCUUAACUGUAAUGUAAACAACAAUAAAGUUAUGUAAUUCUUUUGCUAAUAAACAAUAUUUGAAAUAAAAUUACAAGAGAUUCUAUAUGCAAAAUCAAGAUAUCAACAAAUAAACACCACAUUGUAAAAGGAAAAGAUAUAUAAAUUAUCUGUAAUCCAAAACAAACCAAUAAAAACAAGCCAAGUCACUAACCAAAACUUUUAUUCCAUGGUUCACAAUCACAAUCACAAACCACCUUAUCUUUAUUUUUCACCACAUAUUUUUUCAUACUAUAUGAAUAUGAUCUCAUUUCAUAUCACUCAUCAUAGUAACCAAUCUACAAACCAAAAAAAAUGGCAGCUUCAGCAUCAUCCAUGAUAUCAACUCAUCAUGCCUUAACCACAAACAUUCAAAAGCACCAAACUUUUAACCUUAAGCCAUCAAACUUAUGUUUCCAAGGUUUCAAACCAUUGACAAGGUCAACAAAAGUCACACAAAGCAAAAGAAGAUUUUCUAGUCUUGUUGUCAAAGCUGAACUCAACCCUUCACUUGUGAUAAGCUUAAGCACUGGCUUAUCAUUGUUUUUAGGAAGGUUUGUGUUUUUCAACUUCCAAAGAGAAAAUGUAGCCAAACAAGGCUUACCUGAACAAAAUGGUGUAACACACUUUGAAGCUGGUGACAAACGUGCUAAGGAAUAUGUUAGCUUGCUUAAAUCCAAUGAUCCUGUUGGUUUUAAUCUUGUUGAUGUUUUGGCUUGGGGUUCUUUAGGUCAUAUUGUUGCUUAUUAUAUCUUGGCUACUUCUAGCAAUGGUUAUGAUCCUAGUUUCUUUGGUUAAUUUAUUUUGUUGCAUGUUGUUUUUCAUUAUUUAUGUUGUUUUAAUUUAUCCUUUUUUGUUGGUAUGUUAUGUAAUGUGAUGAUGUAUAGUUUAUUUGGAUGAUGAGAGAUCCAACAAGUUCAUUAUCUUGGA
rnacentral:lncRNA from 1 species